rnacentral:misc_RNA from 1 species
GAUGAAGAACGCAGCGAAAUGCGAUAAGUAAUGCGAAUUGCAGAAUUUCCGUGAGUCAUCGAAUCUUUGAACGCACAUUGCGCCCCUUGGUAUUCCAUGGGGCAUGCCUGUUCGAGCGUCAUUUGUACCCUCAAGCUUUGCUUGGUGUUGGGCGUCUUGUCGUAUUACGACUCGCCUUAAAUACAUUGGCAGCCGGCACUUUGGCCUAGGAGCGCAGCACAUUUUGCGAUCGUAGCCCGUUGUACUGGCGUCCAUCAAGAACAUUUACCACGUUUGACCUCGGAUCAGGUAGGGAUACCCGCUGAACUUAAGCAUAUCAAUAAGCGGAGGA